rnacentral:misc_RNA from 1 species
GAUGAAGAACGCAGCGAAAUGCGAUACGUAAUGUGAAUAGCAGAAUUCAGUGAAUCAUCGAAUCUUUGAACGCAUAUUGCGCUCUCUGGUAUUCCGGAGAGCAUGCUUGUUUGAGUAUCAGUAAACACCUCAACUCCCCUUUCUUUUUUUGAAAUGGGAGCUGGACUUGAGUGAUCCCAACGCUUUUCUCACCGAAAAGUGGCGGGUUACUUGAAAUGCAGGUGCAGCUGGACUUUUCUCUGAGAUAAAAGCAUAUCUAUUUAGUCUGCCUAAAAAACAGAUUAUUACCUUUGCUGCAGCUAACAUAAAGGAGAUUAGUUCUUGUGCUGACUGAUGCAGGAUUCACAGAGACAGCUUCGGCUGGCCUUUGUAAACUCGAUCUCAAAUCAAGUAAGACUACCCGCUGAACUUAAGCAUAUCAAUAAGCGGAGGA